rnacentral:misc_RNA from 1 species
AAAUAAAAAUCGGUGUUGUUGCUGCCUUGCGUGGUGACGCAUCGGAUUUGGGUCGUCUUACCUUCGGUUAAGUGACCUAAAAUUUUGCAUGAUUUUUCGAACGUAUUUAAAUUAUUUACGUACGUUUGUGAUAAUCGAACAUUAGGUGUGGUCAUUCUCAUGAUUCGCGCCUAUGAUUUCUCAUCA